rnacentral:rRNA from 1 species
CCUACGGGUGGCAGCAGUGAGGAAUAUUGGUCAAUGGGCGCGAGCCUGAACCAGCCAAGUAGCGUGAAGGAUGACUGCCCUACGGGUUGUAAACUUCUUUUAUAAAGGAAUAAAGAGUGGCACGUGUGCCUUUUUGUAUGUACUUUAUGAAUAAGGAUCGGCUAACUCCGUGCCAGCAGCCGCGGUAAUACGGAGGAUCCGAGCGUUAUCCGGAUUUAUUGGGUUUAAAGGGUGCGUAGAGGGGUUGUUAAGUCAGUUGUGAAAGUUUGGGGCUCAACCGUAAAAUUGCAAUUGAUACUGGCAGCCUUGAGUACAGAUGAGGUAGGCGGAAUGCGUGGUGUAGCGGUGAAAUGCUUAGAUAUCACGAAGAACUCCGAUUGCGAAGGCAGCCUACUAGACUGCCACUGACGUUGAUGCUCGAGAGUGUGGGUAUCAAACAGGAUUAGAUACCCGGGUAGUC